ACUCCUACGGGAGGCAGCAGUAGGGAAUCUUCCGCAAUGGACGAAAGUCUGACGGAGCAACGCCGCGUGAGCGAUGAAGGCCUUCGGGUCGUAAAGCUACUGUUGUNCAGGGAAGAANCAAGUAUACGGAGUAAGCUGNCCGGUACCCUUGAACGNUANCNGANCCAGAAAGGCCCCGUAUC
rnacentral:rRNA from 1 species